UUUCCAUUUCGUCCAUUUCUUCCAAAGGAGAUCCUGAAUGUUUGUCCCAAGUUGAAGGGGUACCACGGAUGCCAUUUCCUUCAUGGUAGCUGACAAAAGAGUGAGAGAAAUGUUAAAGAAGAGGGAAAAGGAAAAAGAGAAAGAGUACGAGAGAGAGACAGAUAAUUAUGCAUUCGUGAACAGUAUACAACCACAUGUCGCAGAUGGGUCCUCCAUUUGUGAACAGCGUUACACUGUUCACAGAUGGGUCUUUUUUGUUUUUUUAUUGUUUCUCACACGGCCGGAAAGGGCAAAAUGACGAUUCUGCUUCUUUUUUAUCUCUCUCUCUCUCUCUCGUUUUGUCAGGCUCUCUGGUCUCUCCUUGGUGAUCUCUCUUCUCUGUUUUGAGUUAGGAAUCGUGGUGUUUGGUUGUGGGAGAUUUGAUGAUGAGCGAUUGGCUGAUAAGAACAAGGGUUUUAAGAUCUUCUUCCUUCUUUCUUCACGAAGCCCUCAUCGAAUUGGGUAGAAUUUGUUUGGGGUUUUUCUUCUUCACGACCAAAAGGCCGCCCUUCAAUUCAUCUUCUUCUUGUUCUUGAGUUUUGGAAUUCGAACAAACACAUGCAACGGCGUUUCCACUGGCAUUAGGGACCUUUUCAGAGAUAAUUCUGCCAUAAAUGCUGGAGCAAACGGGAAGAGCUGAACCUUUGGCCCCUGGGAGCAAUUUCUUCACUUGGGCAAGAGUGGUUGCGGCACUAGACAACACAAGAUUAUACGUGACACGUGUUAGCUCUUUGGCAUCUCUUGCACGAGCCCCACGAGGGUCCGAUCUGAGGGACUUUUGGCACAGACCAAAGUCGUGUGUUUUUUCACAAGUGUUUGAUAUCAAAUCUGCUCCAAUCUCCUUCAUUGAUUGCUGUAGAAGAACGAGUAUUAGAAAUGCUGCCCAUGAGUUCACAAACUUCAUCUUUCUUCUUCUUCGGCUUACUUUUGAAUGCUGCAAAUUUCUGUACGUACAGUCGAUAGAUUAAUGUAUCCUCAAGCUGCAAAUC